rnacentral:rRNA from 1 species
UACGUAGGGUGCAAGCGUUGUUCGGAAUUACUGGGCGUAAAGGGCUCGUAGGCGGCCAACUAAGUCGGAUGUGAAAUCCCCAGGCUCAACCUGGGAACUGCAUCCGAUACUGGAUGGCUUGAAUCCGGGAGAGGGAUGCAGAAUUCCAGGUGUAGCGGUGAAAUGCGUAGAUAUCUGGAGGAAUACCGGUGGCGAAGGCGGCAUCCUGGACCGGCAUUGACGCUGAGGAGCGAAAGCUAGGGGAGCAAACGGG